GCGAGGAUGGAAAGGGAAGAGGAAGGAAAGGAGCAAGAGAAAGAAGUGUGAAAGAAGGAAACGAGGAGAAGCAAAGACGUCUGGAGAAUAUUUUAAGCUGCCUCCUGAUAUGUCUGCAAUUGGAAGUAACAAGUUGUGUUUUUCAAUGUAAGCCUGGACUGCAUCAGGGACCAGAUAACGGAUGCUCUGUCCUCUCCUCAGUGCUCUCCGGAUCUUGGUGGAAGAGAUGUCAUUGGUGAUCCACUCUUCUAUCAGCAGCACCCUGAGUUUUUCAUAGAGGUCUCUUGAGAACUGCCCCAAUCAUGGGCUGUGAGAUCUGAGUCCUGUGACUGCCGACGUGCUGGAGCUAGACGCAUCAGCAAUUCAAGCCUUGUUAACCAAUCUACUGGAACUGGAAAAGUGCUGUGCACUGUGGCCGAUGAAUGGAGCACAACUAUGAAAGAGAAUUUGAAUCAUGCUGCCAAGUGUGGGUGAUGCAGACUACAAAAAGCUGGUGUGAUAGUCUCAGGGUUUGGGGAGAAGAGGCUGGGAUAGAUUGACAAUAUUGUGAACUCCUUUUUGUUUUGUGGACUCCAUUUUGUUUCUGGGUCUCUCUUUUGUAUUACAACCUUUGUUUUGAAGUGUGACCUUCAUGUUGUAUUGCAGCCUUCAUCGUGGAUUGGAGCAUCCAUUUUGUGCCAGGGGCUUGACACCUAGUGGAAUAACUAUGUCUGAGAAGCAAUGACAGAGCAAUCAAGGGCUAUCAACAUUGAAUGACUCUUCCCUAGUAGAAUAAUAGUUUUUCUAUCAUUAGGGUCUUUGACUCUGAAUGACAGGGGAGAAGCUGUAAUCCCAAACUUACCCAGCUGGAACACAUAGACAACAGGGAGACAGAUUGUUUUAAAAGAGGGUUGUUUUUCUCCAUAACGUGCCAGGCCAUUGGCACAUGCAAAAUGACCAGUUAAAAGAAGGCAGCAAAAGAUGCAUAGUUUAAGGAUGCUGAUCAAACCCAGGACUCACAGGAGGGAUGAGAUUAGACUUUGGGUUGGCGGGUGCAUUCAGGAUGUUGUUGUUUUUCAAAGAUCUGUUACUCUUGAAAAGGUUAGAGAGUUAAGUGUCUGUGAUUAAAAAAUUCCUUUGCUAAGUCUCAGAGUAGCAGCCGUGUUAGUCUGUAUCCGCAAAAAGA